GGAGAGGUACCCGAAGCGGCCCAACGGGGUUCCGGGCGAUCCGGAUCGGGUGCAAGCCCCCGCAGGUUCGAAUCCUGCCCUCUCCG
rnacentral:tRNA from 1 species